rnacentral:rRNA from 1 species
GAUGAACGCUGGCGGCGUGCUUAACACAUGCAAGUCGAACGAAGCACUUCAAUCGAUUUCUUCGGAAUGAAGUUUUAGUGACUGAGUGGCGGACGGGUGAGUAACGCGUGGGUAACCUGCCUCAUACAGGGGGAUAACAGUUGGAAACGACUGCUAAUACCGCAUAAGCGCACAGGAUCGCAUGAUCCGGUGUGAAAAACUCCGGUGGUAUGGGAUGGACCCGCGUCUGAUUAGCCAGUUGGCAGGGUAACGGCCUACCAAAGCGACGAUCAGUAGCCGACCUGAGAGGGUGACCGGCCACAUUGGGACUGAGACACGGCCCAAACUCCUACGGGAGGCAGCAGUGGGGAAUAUUGCACAAUGGGGGAAACCCUGAUGCAGCGACGCCGCGUGAGCGAAGAAGUAUUUCGGUAUGUAAAGCUCUAUCAGCAGGGAAGAAGAAUGACGGUGCCUGACUAAGAAGCACCG